CCCUCAUUACUUGGCCUCCCAUAACUAGGCCUCCUCGGUGGCUCCUCCACCUCCGGACUCUCGUAGCUCGGCCUCCCAUACUGUGGCUUCCUGGGGGACCCUUCCCCACCAUAACCAUACCCGCCACCUUGUUCCUCUCCGAAGCUAGGUUUCCGACCGUACCCAGAUCCAUAUUCAGAACUCGGUGCUUCGUACUCAGGCCUCCGACCAUACCCAGAUCCAUACUCCGAACUGGGCUGCUCGAACUCGGGCCUCCGACCAUACCCAGAUCCAUACUCCGAACUAGGUUGCUCGUAUUCAGGCUUCCGACCGUACCCAGAUCCAUAUUCCGUGCUAGGCUGUUCGUAUUCAGGCUUCCGACCGUACCCAGAUCCAUAUUCCGAGCUAGGCUGUUCGUAUUCAGGCUUCCGACCGUACCCAGAUCCAUAUUCCGAGCUAGGCUGUUCGUAUUCAGGCUUCCGACCGUAGCCAGAUCCAUAUUCCGAGCUAGGCUGUUCGCAUUCAGGCUUCCGACCGUACCCGGAUCCGUACUCCGAACUGGGUUCCUCGUAAUCAGGCUUCCGCCCAUGCCCAGAUCCAUACUCACCCUCCCCACCAAAACUCGACGGCGGCUUCGGCUGAUACCCAUACUCACCACCAUCACCACUGCCUCCGAACCCUCCUUGGCCAGGAGGUGGUCCGGCGUAACCAAGGACCGGACGAGGCUUGGGACGAGCAUAGCUCUUGUAUUCAUUCUCAAGAGCUUCAUCACC
rnacentral:lncRNA from 1 species